GACGAACGCUGGCGGCGUGCUUAACACAUGCAAGUCGAACGGAAAGGCCCCUUUGGGGGUACUCGAGUGGCGAACGGGUGAGUAACACGUGAGUAACCUGCCCUUGACUUCGGGAUAACUUCAGGAAACUGGGGCUAAUACCGGAUAGGAAUCCUUGCUGCAUGGUGGGGGUUGGAAAGCUUCGGCGGUUUUGGAUGGACUCGCGGCUUAUCAGCUUGUUGGUGGGGUAGUGGCUUACCAAGGCUUUGACGGGUAGCCGGCCUGAGAGGGCGACCGGCCACAUUGGGACUGGGAUACGGCCCAGACCCCUACGGGGGGCAGCGGGGGGGAAUUUUGCACAAGGGGCGGAAGCCUUAUGCAGCAACGCCGCGUGGGGGAUGACGGCCUUCGGGUUGUAAACCGCUUUCAGCAGGGGCGAAGCUUGUGGUGACGGUACCUGCAAAAGAAGCACCGGCUAACUACGU
rnacentral:rRNA from 1 species